rnacentral:tRNA from 1 species
UUAAAGAUAAGCUAAAUUAAGCUAGUGAAUUCAUACUUCACCUAUGGAACCCCUCUUUAAU